AUUAAUUAUAAUUACAAAGGCUAUCUACUCUGUAUUGAGUUUGUUCAAAAUGAGUUAUACCCUUGUUGAGAGAUUUAUCAUGCUCCUAAGAUCAAGACAUUUAUUCAGAAACAUUCACUCUUCCGAAGUAUUAUUGCAUUAGAGGCAUGGGCUAUGCAAAAAUAGAAAUAUUUCGAGGAAAUAAAAAGGAGCAAGUGCUCGACAACCUCGCAGAAAAAAUGGACAAGUGUCCGGCAGUAGAAUUAGGGGUACCUCGGUAUCCACUAAAAAAAGAGAAGAGAAAAGAGAAAAAAAUGAUAGCCCAUGGUCCCUCUAAUAAGCAAUAUGCCAGCAAGAGUUGACAAAGAUUUUAAUUUCCAAAGUCUUUGAUCUAAGAGUAUGACAUUCCCCUCCUUGGAUCCCGUUUUGAUCAGGCAAUAAAUGCAAAGUAAGUAUGCUUGAGAAUUUUUGCAAAAAUAAAACAGCCUCAGUGUGAUAUAUAUAAAAGAUAAUGAGUGAUCUGAGAGAACCUAUGAGGAUCAAAGGUAUGCUAACUUUCUUUCAAAAAAAAUAUACAAAAAGCUCCAAGUGACAG
rnacentral:lncRNA from 1 species